rnacentral:rRNA from 1 species
CCCCAACAUGCGGAAGGUUCCGUAGGUGACCUGCGGAGGUCAUUA